AUAAGGGAGGCUCCUGGAGAACGGUUGGUCAUCUGUUAAGGAUGGCAGCAUCUGUAGAGAUGUGGGCUCCUACCGCUGGGGGCUUUUUCAUAU
rnacentral:ncRNA from 1 species